CAGCUGACACGGUGCCCAGUCUGCGGCUUAAUGCACAAGUUUUUAAUAAUGUGUGGGACUACAUGAGUCUCCGCGGCUCAUUGAUAUUCACGUGCCUAAUGUCUUGUCAAAACUGCGAGGCGAGGGAGACUGCAAGAGAAGCGAGCACUUGAAAUUUCUGAGAGAAGGACUAAUGGAAGAGGGAGAGGGUUGAAGCUUCUCCGCGCUUAUCUCUGUCUGACAGUCGCGAGCAGCGGUUGGCGAGGGCUGGCGUUAGCGCGCUAUGCUGUGCGGUACGGUGCAGGCGAGGAGGCCCGGGGACAGGGAUCAAAGGCAGGCUCGGGUGUCCCUGUCAGGCAGAGCAGUGGAAUCCACCUCAGAGCUCUCUGCCAAGGAACACAUUUCCCAGCACCACUCUUAAAAACCCAUUUAGAGAGGCAUAAUAGCCAGCGUGAGCACCUGACAUCACGUUCAGUCUCUGGCGCUGCUGUUCUCUGUCUGUUCCCAUCUGCAGAGAAACAGGAAACUUCUGCCUUCUAUUUUCAAGAUAACAUCAAUUAGAGAUUUUCUGCUUGGUUACAGGACAUUGAGAGAUACUAGCUAUAUCAAUAUGGAUAUUUGAAGGGUCAUCGGGACAAAAUAUAUAAUUAUGUAACUUAUAAACACAGCUGGAGAUUUUUUGUCUAUUGGAAACUUGUUCUCCAGCAGUCUUUCCCAACAAAAAUGUCUUCUAUCCAAAGGAAGGAAAGGAAAAAGAGUGUUUUCCCCGACAUCUCUCAGAGUACAUGUCCUUAUCCAUCACCUGCUGUGCAACAAAAUGAAAUGGGGCGAUACAGCUCACCUCAACCCAAAAACAUACCUGCAGACCAGCCAAGCAAUGCCUAAUAGACCACAUCUGACACUGCAUCACUCCCAGACCAGCCUAAACUUAUAAUCAAGGACUACGACAACAACAACUGCUGGUGGAUGGCUUUUCUACUGGCCUGUAAUGGGAAAAUGUGCUCUGUCUGGAUGGGUUACACCAACACCUGUGCUGAGAUCAGCAGGAGUCCAUUACCAGCCACCAAAGCCCAUUUACAGCCAAUCGCCACAUUUUGGUCAAUCUUUACCAGCAACCGGUAGCCCAUCAACGGCAGACGUUAGGAGAAAUAGGUCUCUCGUCUGAACACAUGCGCCUAUCUCCUCCAGACAGGUGUUGUCUGUGAACUUCCAAUAUAAAGGAGUUAUCUUUGAUCUAAAAAGUAAAAAACAAAUUUUUUGCCUGUGUCACAGAAGGCAAGGUGACAUCUGAUGUUUUGGGAAGGGAAAAGAUUCCCGGCUGUAACAGAUCCACUUUUUUUUCUUGCUGAACAGCUAGCUUUCUUUUACCAAACAACUGCUGACAUGCAAACUCAAGUGGUUUAUUGUUUUGAAAAAAUCUGGAAAAAUUAUAAAAUACACAAAAAAGUAAUAUUUAAUAUUAUUAUUAUUAAUGAUAAGAAUGAACAUUUCUUCUAUCAUAUAAUAGAGUUCAUCAGCCGAAGUGUGUUGGAGUCGUGU